UACAGAGGUCUCAAGCGUUGUUCGGAUUCAUUGGGCGUAAAGGGUGUGUAGGUGGCGCCGUAAGUCGGGUGUGAAAUUUCGGAGCUUAACUCCGAAACUGCAUUCGAUACUGCGGUGCUUGAGGACUGGAGAGGAGACUGGAAUUCAUGGUGUAGCAGUGAAAUGCGUAGAUAUCGUGAGGAAGACCAGUGGCGAAGGCGGAUCUCUGGACAGCUCCUGACGCUGAGGCGCGAAGGCUAGGGGAGCAAACGGG
rnacentral:rRNA from 1 species